rnacentral:misc_RNA from 1 species
GUGAAGAACGUAGCGAAAUGCGAUAAGUAAUGUGAAUUGCAGAAUUCAGUGAAUCAUCGAAUCUUUGAACGCACAUUGCGCCCUUUGGUAUUCCUUAGGGCAUGCCUGUUCGAGCGUCAUUUAAACCUUCAAGCUAAGCUUGGUGUUGGGUGACUGUCCGCUUCACGGCGGACUCGCCUCAAAAUUAUUGGCGGCCGGUACAUUGGCUUCGAGCGCAGCAGAAACGCGAACUCGGGCCCGUCGUAUUGGCUCCCAGAAGCUAUCUUCACAAUUUUGACCUCGGAUCAGGUAGGGAUACCCGCUGAACUUAAGCAUAUCAAUAAGCGGAGGA